rnacentral:rRNA from 1 species
AUGGCGAUCACCCUCGCGCAGUACGAGCGCCACCUCAACCUCCAGCGCCACAAGAUCGUCGGCAUUGAUCUCGAGUAUGACAACAACCCUGAAGUGACGCAGAAACCCGCCCUCUGCCAGCUCUCCAUCAGCAAGAAUCACCCGGUGCUGCUCUUCCAAAUGAGCGACAGUGAAAGGUGCACCGUCUUCGACAACUUCCUUGCUGACCCCAGGUACACCUUUGCAGGCUUCUCCAUCGACGGCGACAAAACCAAGCUGGAGCGCGUCAAACUGGAGGUCGCCAACUUCAUUGACAUCUAG